CAGGGUGGUUUUGCCUCCUUCUUUAUUAAAAAAAGAAAAAAUCUAUUUUUGACUCAAAAUUGCAAAGGCAUGAGAUUACCAAAACAUAUUUAUUAACAGAUCAUAACGUAGAUUGACAUGCCGCCAUCCCAGUUAAAAAGCGCACAACAAAUACCCUGCACUGCCCUUGAAAUGAUCACACGAGGGGGAAAGGAAAGGAGUAGAUAAAACGCAUCGACAAGCCUUGCGACUCCACCAGCUGCCGGCCGGAGGCAAUCUCCAUCACAGCCCUCUUGAGCGGUCCAAAGAACUCCACCACCACCCGCCAGCGCACCUGCGACCACCGCACGAGUCGUCGAAGGGUCAGCUUCCGGCGUCUGUUCCCCAGCCGCACGGUGCCGCCUCCCCGCCGCCUUCGAAGCCUCCGCUGGCCCAUGGCCAAUCCAGCGAGCUGCCUAUCCUUCCCCCCGCACCACCGGAUCACCGCCACCCUCCGGAGCUCCGCCGGCGACACAACGCAAGCUAUCUUCGCCAUGUUUCUAUCAGGCACUGCCACUGGAGUUAAAUUAGUCUACUUGGCUUUAAUAGCGAGUGAAGGGAAAGCUUCAGCCUGGUUGGCCCUUAUAGAGAGCGAAGGGAAAGUCUAGAGUCCUUAAUGAUGGUCGUCAUGAUGAUUGUAAUAUGAUGAGGCUAAUAAAUAGGAUGAUGAUUCGAUGGGGCUUACGAUAUGCUGUUAAGUUAUUCGGCCUUGGGGUCCACAGGUCAUCAUUUUAGAGUGUGAGAGCAAUCAUUAACUACGUACAAAUUGGGCUAAGAAAAGCGAAGUAUGGGCCGGCCUUCGCUUGUGGCCUACUCUUUCUGCUUGGCACAUGAUGAGAGGAGGCUUGAUGGGAUCUUGAGGGCAGAUAAAGCAUUAGAUCUUUAUU
rnacentral:lncRNA from 1 species